rnacentral:rRNA from 1 species
AUGCAAGUCGAGCGGGGGAAGGUAGCUUGCUACUGGACCUAGCGGCGGACGGGUGAGUAAUGCUUAGGAAUCUGCCUAUUAGUGGGGGACAACAUCUCGAAAGGGAUGCUAAUACCGCAUACGUCCUACGGGAGAAAGCAGGGGAUCUUCGGACCUUGCGCUAAUAGAUGAGCCUAAGUCGGAUUAGCUAGUUGGUGGGGUAAAGGCCUACCAAGGCGACGAUCUGUAGCGGGUCUGAGAGGAUGAUCCGCCACACUGGGACUGAGACACGGCCCAGACUCCUACGGGAGGCAGCAGUGGGGAAUAUUGGACAAUGGGGGGAACCCUGAUCCAGCCAUGCCGCGUGUGUGAAGAGGGCCUUAUGGUUGUAAAGCACUUUAAGCGAGGAGGAGGCUACUUUAGUUAAUACCUAGAGAUAGUGGACGUUACUCGCAGAAUAAGCACCGGCUAACUCUGUGCCAGCAGCCGCGGUAAUACAGAGGGUGCGAGCGUUAAUCGGAUUUACUGGGCGUAAAGCGUGCGUAGGCGGCUUAUUAAGUCGGAUGUGAAAUCCCCGAGCUUAACUUGGGAAUUGCAUUCGAUACUGGUGAGCUAGAGUAUGGGAGAGGAUGGUAGAAUUCCAGGUGUAGCGGUGAAAUGCGUAGAGAUCUGGAGGAUACCGAU